CUACGGGGGGCUGCAGUGGGGAAUCUUAGACAAUGGGGGAAACCCUGAUCUAGCCAUGCCGCGUGAGCGACGACGGCCCUAGGGUUGUAAAGCUCUUUCAGCAGGGAAGAUAAUGACGGUACCUGCAGAAGAAGUCCCGGCUAACUCCGUGCCAGCAGCCGCGGUAAUACGGAGGGGACUAGCGUUGUUCGGAAUUACUGGGCGUAAAGCGCGCGUAGGCGGAUUGUUAAGUCGGGGGUGAAAUCCCGGGGCUCAACCCCGGAACGGCCCUCGAUACUGGCAGUCUUGAGUUCGAGAGAGGUGAGUGGAAUUCCGAGUGUAGAGGUGAAAUUCGUAGAUAUUCGGAGGAACACCAGUGGCGAAGGCGGCUCACUGGCUCGAUACUGACGCUGAGGUGCGAAAGCGUGGGGAGCAGACAGGAUUAGAUACCCGGGUAGUC
rnacentral:rRNA from 1 species